UCUCUGCUGCAGCGGAUCGGCGUGGGCGUCGCGAUCGAUGGUGGCGCGGCCUUGCGGCGUCGGCGCAUGUCGGCCGACCGGAAGUGGGUCAAAUGCGCGCACCUUGCCGGGGCCGCCCCCGAUAAACACAGUGCGUUCCCGCUGCUUGCCCAUCGCAGAUCUCUACAACUCCCGAAGGAACAAGCAUCCAGCAAAAAAGGUACCAGAGUUACCCCACGAAAACGGAAGUGAUCCAGCGCAAAGACGUCGAGUCUAGUAGGGUCAAGGGUGGUUUUAUAAUCUUCUGCAAGUACGAAGCCAAUUAGCGAUCUGUUAAGUGUGUUUUGUGUUGUUGUUGGUAGCAAUUAUGACGUCACCGGCGAUCAGCUCUCAGAACGGCAAGGGGGAUUCCCCGUCGGCGGUGAACUCGCCGUCGAAGCUGUCGGCGGCGUCGGCCGGGGGCGGCGGUGCGACGUCAUCGCCGUCCGGCGGAUCCUCCUGGACCGCCUGGUGGAGGAUCUUCAAGUUGGCCAACCUGCUCAUGCAGCAGGGUUGCUAAGCAACAAAAGCUGAAAAAAAA